CAAUACAAAGGGCAGCUAAACCGCGAGGCCAAGCAAAUCCCAUAAAGUUGUUCUCAGUUCGGAUUGUAGUCUGCAACUCGACUACAUGAAGCUGGAAUCGCUAGUAAUCGUAGAUCAGCAUGCUACGGUGAAUACGUUCCCGGGUCUUGUACACACCGCCCGUCAC
rnacentral:rRNA from 1 species